CAAGAGUUGAAAGACUCCCUAAACCCUUUGUUUACCUACCUGUUCAGUUGCUUCGGCAGGCGGCCCCAGGGCGGGGCCUCCGGCCUGCUUAGGCAGGUGCCUGCCGCUGGCGCAAGCAAAAACUCUUUGUUAUACGUUACCUAUCUGAGUCCCAAAAAAAUGAAUCA
rnacentral:misc_RNA from 1 species